GGAGAGAUGGCCGAGCGGUCGAAGGCACUUGCCUGCUAAGCAAGCGUGGGAUUUUCCCACCGUGGGUUCAAAUCCCACUCUCUCCGCCA
rnacentral:tRNA from 1 species